CUGCAGACCGCUCCUGGCGGCGCUCCAGCCGCUCGGAGCCUCGGCACGCUCGGCGCUCCAGCUGUCCGCUCCGGCGCUUCGCUGAUCUGCUUGUCUGAUUGUCUUGUCCCGCCCGGCGGCCGGCUGCAGGCUGCUUGCCGCUUGGUCCCGCCGAGGCGUCGACCCGCACCGCACGGCUGCCGCCUGCCGCUGCUUCCUGCUUGGCCGCACGUCUGCUUGUCUAGUUGUUUGCUUGGCUGCUUGCUUAGUGCUUCUAGUUGUCUGCUUGCUUCGUGCUUCUGUGUUUCUAGUUGUCUGAUUGUGACUUGUGAGACUUGUGAGCAUAGAAAGGUCAAAGUCUUGGAUACAAACAAAAACAAGGCAAAGAAUAUGGCCCAAAAAAUUUAA
rnacentral:misc_RNA from 1 species